CAGCAAAACACAGGAGGAGCAAGUCAGACAAUGAUUGUUUUCAUUUUUCUCUGAGGCUUCUCAGUUUCCCAGGAGAAGAAAUCCUGGCAAAGGGAUUUUUCAGAAAAUGUGACAGUGACAGGUGCUCCCUUCCUGGGUGAAGGACAUGGGCAGUGCUGGAGCUGUGAUUUUAAUGCAACAAUCAGAUAUUUAAAACCCAGCCUGUGUUUAAUUGCUGCUCUGAGUAGCAGCAGCAGGAUCUGGUGCUCACACUCCUCACUGCCCCAGUGCUGGGAGGGAAACGUGGCACCAGCCUCACAGUAAGAUGGCAUUUGUCCCAAUCCUGAAAUCAGGCUAUAGAUCAAACUCUUCAUUGGCUGCAGAAGUUUCUGUUUUUCUGAUUCCCACAGGUAGGAAAGCCUCUCUUUUCACUCGUAUUCUCUCGGAGCCAUCUGCUCAGAACACUUUCAAAAUGAGGGCAAUUAGAGAUAAGAGCUAAUAACACUCCAACCUGCACGCUGGGAAAUGCCAUUUAAUCACCAUUGCCUCGCUGGCAAAUAAGGAGCAGCCCCUGACUGGACCAGGGUGAUAAAGCUCCCGUGCAGGCUCAAAUGAAGAGCCCAGCUGCAGUGUUUGCCACCGUGAAUUGUAGCUGCAAGACCUGGAAUCUGGCCUAAAGAGCUGAUAUAAAUCCAGCAGAAUAAAUCUUUCCCUACUGCCUGUGGUUUCACACUGCCUUAACUCAACUCUUUUACCUAAUCUCUGACCUUCCUUUGUAAUUUUUCAUGUUUCCCAGGUAAAACUCAGGGUGCUCGUUAGCUGAGGCUGAGCCAGGAGGGCUGGGGAGUUCAGCUUUUCUCCUGAGGGAGACGAGCAGGGCUGAGCAGGGUGUGCUGUGGGAACCUUUGGCAGUGCUCUGCACUCAAUUUCCCAGUGCAGGAGCAUCUCUGGGUUUCCUU